UAAUGGUUUAUUAUGUACAUUUGACUCUCGCACCUGUUUCGGAUUGAAUUGAACUGUUGUUUGUUAUGUAAAGGAAGAAUACAAAUCAUAAAAUAAAUUAACUAAAUAUAAAUAGAUUAAUUAUAAAAAUUGACGAGAAAAAGUGCCUGUGAAAGUAUAAUUUCUGAAUAAAUGAUUUGAUUUGAUCUAGAAAAUUAUAAUACCGAUCUACCGGCACGUUUUCCAAAUAAUGGUGCGAAGUGGCGAAGGAAAAAUAGGAAAGCAACUCCCCGGACUCCGAAGCUACAAAGAAGUCUACUGCUGGACAAAGGCCUGUCCGUAAGACUUCCACAAAGAUCGAAUGAAAGUCAUCAGCGCGGGAAUGCUGCCUUGCUUACAGCUCAAAGUAGCCUCGGUUCAGAUGCCUCAGAGCUGGAGAGGCUACCGGGACACCAUUCAGAUGAUCACGAGACUCUGUCUGAAGAAAAUUUGACUAAAAAGUGUUUAAAAAACAAUUUAUUAUUAUUAUCUACCAUCACACCUAAUGCGAUAGUGUAGACUUAUACCUAACUAAAAUUAUUUACACAUUUUACAGUAAAAAGUAUCUUUUGGAACCCACUCAAUAAGCACAGGAAUAUAUCCAAUAGCUUAUGCACCGAAUCAAUGACGCGAAUUAUUCGCGCGACAGACAUUAUUCCCAGCAAGCUAAACCUAGCUACGGGCACUACCAGCAACUACCGUUUGCAAUGACGCAAAACUAUAUUGAUUUUAAAAUUAUUUAUUGUUUUAAUGUUUUUUAAUUACUAUAUCAGUUUAAUUAUAUCUUUUUUUAUUUAAAAAAAAUCCUUAUCAGCCACUGGACUAUAGCGAGCGCUGGAUAUGAGACUUCUGGAGCUAUUCCAAUUA